rnacentral:ncRNA from 1 species
ACGAGCCACAUGCAGGGAAACUUGCACGUGUGGUUCUGGCCGGGCUUUCCUUCGGUAUCUAAUAACCUUGCUUCUGCUCGCCGCUGGCGCACCUCUCCUGUUAGUCUCAAAAAUAAUAUAAAAGUGGAAAAUAAAGCCCAAU